GAUGAACGCUAGCUACAGGCUUAACACAUGCAAGUCGAGGGGCAGCAUGGUCUUAGCUUGCUAAGGCCGAUGGCGACCGGCGCACGGGUGAGUAACACGUAUCCAACCUGCCGUCUACUCUUGGACAGCCUUCUGAAAGGAAGAUUAAUACAAGAUGGCAUCAUGAGUCCGCAUGUUCACAUGAUUAAAGGUAUUCCGGUAGACGAUGGGGAUGCGUUCCAUUAGAUAGUAGGCGGGGUAACGGCCCACCUAGUCUUCGAUGGAUAGGGGUUCUGAGAGGAAGGUCCACCACAUUGGAACUGAGACACGGUCCAAACUCCUACGGGAGGCAGCAGUGAGGAAUAUUGGUCAAUGGGCGCAGGCCUGAACCAGCCAAGUAGCGUGAAGGAUGACUGCCAUAUGGGUUGUAAACUUCCUUUAUAAAGGAAUAAAGUCGGGUAUGUAUACCCGUUUGCAUGUACUUUAUGAAUAAGGAUCGGCUAACUCCGUG
rnacentral:rRNA from 1 species